rnacentral:rRNA from 1 species
CCUACGGGAGGCAGCAGUAGGGAAUAUUGGGCAAUGGAGGCAACUCUGACCCAGCCAUGCCGCGUGCAGGAUGAAGGCGUUAUGCGUUGUAAACUGCUUUUAUAUAGGAAGAAAUAGACCUUGCGAGGUAAGUUGACGGUACUAUAUGAAUAAGCACCGGCUAACUCCGUGCCAGCAGCCGCGGUAAUACGGAGGGUGCAAGCGUUGUCCGGAUUUAUUGGGUUUAAAGGGUGCGUAGGCGGUUUAUUAAGUCAGUGGUGAAAGACGGUCGCUCAACGAUUGCAGUGCCAUUGAUACUGGUAGACUUGAGUGUGAUUGAGGUAGCUGGAAUGGAUAGUGUAGCGGUGAAAUGCAUAGAUAUUAUCCAGAACACCAAUUGCGUAGGCAAGUUACUAAGUCACAACUGACGCUGAGGCACGAAAGUGUGGGUAUCAAACAGGAUUAGAUACCCUGGUAGUCCACACUGUAAACGAUGAUAACUAACUGUUGGCUUUUGGGUCAGUGGUACAGAGAAAUCGUUAAGUUAUCCACCUGGGGAGUACGCCGGNAACGGUGAAACUCAAAUGAAUUGACGG